ACCUCACACAUGAAGAAAUGGCUUUCUUAUCCACCAAGGAGAUGAGCCUUUGUUCUCUUUUAUUCGUUUUUCGUGAAAUGAAGRGGGAAAGUUUAUUUUUCGGGGUAUUACAUAGACAGGUAAAUGAUGCCCUUUUCAUAGUCAGGUGAAAAUGGAAAAAUGUCAAAAUGUCAAAAUUGCCCCUAAAAAGUUCGCCGUCCGAGAGCUUCUCCCCUUCUACUCUCCUCCAAAACUCACCGGUGACCUCCUCAAACUAUUUCUCUUUCUGUCAUUCUCUUCCCUCUCUCUCUAUCUCCCUCCCUCUACAUCUACCGCUGUCAAUCUAGAUCCAGCAGCCACUACUAUUUUCAUAGUCACACCUGUUUCGUCUAGUAAUCUCGCUUGAAAUCAACUAUUCGAUGGUUUUUCUUUCAUCCCCACGACACCAACCUACUUCACGAAGGUUAAGAGAGCGGUCCCCUGUUUCAAGAUUCCCAAUCAUCAAUUUCAGUUUCAGAGCUACUAAUUUCGUUGCUGGUAGCACUAUACAUCAAAGAGUUUAAGAAAUAGUAAGAAAAGGAGAAUCCGAUUGCUACUUGUCAUCCCAUUGCUACAGAUCUGGGCGUCCCAUUGUGAAGUGAUUCUCGACAACAAACAGGUGUCAUUCUUGCUUUUGACUUUAAUCGGAGAUGCCAGGAUCCUCAGAUAUCCCCUUGAAUGGUUUGUAGCUGAUGCCUAUGCAAUAUUCUGUAUAGGGAAGUGUGACAGGGUUUGGCCUACUGACCAUAUGCUGAACAAAUACUGGGACUUUCUCUGGUUAUUAAGAAAAUACCGAGAUAGAGACUUAAUUAGUGAAUGGAAAAUGAUUUGGUUGUGUACAUGGUACAUAAAUUUAAGAAAGUCAGCUUUCUGUGUUGUUUGAAAAAUGUGAGAGCUGGAUCUAUAUGAUGUUCUGGUUCCUUGAUGGCUGAACCUUGAACCACAAAAUACAGGAUCCAUGUUUAUAUUCAUAGAUUACAAGA